rnacentral:rRNA from 1 species
UCUGCCUUUUGGUUUGGAAUACACGGGGAAACUUGUGCUAAUACCGAAUAAGCCUUUACAGGGAAAGUUUUAACGCCGAAAGAUGAGCCCGCACUUGAUUAGCUAGUUGGUAAGGUAAAAGCUUACCAAGGCAACGAUCAAUAGCUGUUCUUAGAGGAAGACCAGCCACAUUGGGACUGAGACACGGCCCAGACUCCUACGGGAGGCAGCAGUGGGGAAUCUUGCACAAUGGGGGAAACCCUGAUGCAGCGAUGCCGCGUGAGUGAAGAAGGCCCUUGGGUUGUAAAACUCUUUCGUCGGGGAAGAAAAUGACUGUACCCGAAUAAGAAGGUCCGG